rfam:Solanum lycopersicum cultivar Heinz 1706 chromosome 4, whole genome shotgun sequence.
GAUCUCACAGCGGAGUGGAUAUUGUGUUAGACUUAUGAUCUAAAGUUUGUGGGUUUGAAUACCACUGGGAUUG